rnacentral:rRNA from 1 species
AUUGAACGCUGGCGGCAGGCCUAACACAUGCAAGUCGAACGAGUGGCGGACAGGUGAGUAAUGUCUGGGAAACUGCCCGAUGGAGGGGGAUAACUACUGGAAACAGUAGCUAAUACCGCAUACCAUCGGAUGUGCCCAGAUGGGAUUAGCUAGUAGGGGGGGUAACGGCUCACCAAGGCGACGAUCCCUAGCUGGUCUGAGAGGAUGACCAGCCACACUGGAACUGAGACACGGUCCAGACUCCUACGGGAGGCAGCAGUGGGGAAUAUUGGACAAUGGGCGCAAGCCUGAUGCAGCAAUGCCGCGUGUAUGAAGAAGGCCUUCGGGUUGUAAAGUACGUUCGUCGGGGAGGCGGUAUCCGCAGAGGAAGCACCGGCUAACUCCGUGCCAGCAGCCGCGGUAAUUC